CCUACGGGAGGCAGCAGUGGGGAAUAUUGCACAAUGGGGGAAACCCUGAUGCAGCGACGCCGCGUGAGUGAAGAAGUAAUUCGUUAUGUAAAGCUCUAUCAGCAGGGAAGAAAAUGACGGUACCUGAGUAAGAAGCCCCGGCUAACUACGUGCCAGCAGCCGCGGUAAUAAGUAGGGGGCAAGCGUUAUCCGGAAUUACUGGGUGUAAAGGGAGCGUAGACGGCAGUGCAAGUCUGGAGUGAAAGGCGGGGGCUCAACCCCCGGACUGCUCUGGAAACUGUACGGCUGGAGUGCAGGAGAGGUAAGUGGAAUUCCUAGUGUAGCGGUGAAAUGCGUAGAUAUUAGGAGGAACACCAGUGGCGAAGGCGGCUUACUGGACUGUAACUGACGUUGAGGCUCGAAAGCGUGGGGAGCAAACAGGAUUAGAUACCCGGGUAGUC
rnacentral:rRNA from 1 species